rnacentral:rRNA from 1 species
UAACCCGCCACGCUUAGCGCGUGGGGAGACAGUGUCAGGUGGGCAGUUUGACUGGGGCGGUCGCCUCCUAAAGAGUAACGGAGGCGCCCAAAGGUUCCCUCAGAAUGGAUGGAAAUCAUUCGCAGAGGGUAAAGGCACAAGGGAGCUUGACUGCGAGACUGACAAGUCGAGCAGGGACGAAAGUCGGGCUUAGUGAUCCGGGGGUUCCGCAUGGAAGGGCCAUCGCUCAACGGAUAAAAGCGACCCCGGGGAUAA